GCCAACUUGUAUCGUCUU
rnacentral:snRNA from 1 species